CCGUGAAGCUGGAUUCGCUAGUAAUCGCGCAUCAGCCAUGGCGCGGUGAAUACGUUCCCGGGCCUUGUACACACCGCCCGUCAAGCCAUGGAGCCGGGAGCGCUUGAAGUGCGUCGCCGCGAGGCGCGCCCUAGAGCGAGACCGGUGACUGGGGCUAAGUCGUAACAAGGUAGC
rnacentral:rRNA from 1 species